UGGAAUGCUUUUCCAUUCUUUUGUGUCUUCUUCAAUUUCUUUCAUGAGUGUUCUGUAGUUCCUAGAAUAUAGAUCCUUUACCUCUUUUGUUAGGUUUAUUCCAAGGUAUCUUAUGGUUUUGGGUGCUAUUGUAAAUGGAAUCAAUUCUCUAAUUUCUCUUUCUACAGUUUCCUUGGGUUUGUCCGGUGAUGGGUAUUAAGGAGAGCACAUAUUGCAUGGAGCUCUGGAUGUUAUACACAGUAAAUCCUGGAACACUACAUCAAAAACUAAUGACGUGCUGUAUGGUGACUAACAUAACACAAUGAAAAAAAAGUAUGUCUCUUAGCCUACUGACCAUUCAAGCAAAGUCUUGAAGUUGGAAGAAGAAAAGAGAGAGUGCAAUGAUCUUUUGCAGAAUGGAGCUGCUCACAGUGGCUGUUGGGGUUGCCGUGCCUUUGUUCGUUUGAAGGCUGCUGCUGAGCCGGUCAGCUUAUAUGCACAAGACUGUUGCCAGGAACCGCCGGAAGAUUCAGAUUCAGGGGCUUCUGCUCAAACGCAGGGGACCAGAGAUCGUCAGUGAUUGCUGGAAUGUUGAUGGGUGACUUGAAUGUUUUCUGCAAAUCGUCAGAAAGGCCCUGGGACGGAGAGGCUGAAUUCAUUCCUGGCCCUGAGUCCUGCAUUCCUCAGCACAGACCCGAGGAAUGUGCUCCCAGGUGGUGCUGGGGACAGUUUGGAGCUUGGAUGGUCUUGAGAGGGGCUUGGAAAACCCUUUACCUCACCUUACAUCUCCCGGGAGGAUUUGUUACCAACCUCUACUGCCCUUGUGCUCCGCCACUGAUGAUUUAUUCGGGCAAGAGAAAAGGAGAAGGAAGGGGACCCACCGCGUAGGUGACUGGCCUCCCGUGUAAGGUCUGUGGCGGUUCUCCGAUUGAGCCGAUCUUCCCGACCCCUCUGCGCUCACACCUGUCCUGCUGACCACUAGGACGCUCCCAAGCCUCGGACCAAAUACACCACACACUCGGGAACGCCAGCGGCCGAGGCUGGAUGGGCGCACAGUUUUAGUGCAUCGAGUUUGAAGAGUUUGAAGAAUGAACUUUGGAGCCAGUCCAGCCUGGAUUCAAAUCUCAGUGACGUUCCCCCUGAGCCAACAGCCUGAGAAUGUUCCGAAACCUCUGGAUCCCUUGGUUCCUCGUGGAUAAAAUAAGGCUCAUAAGCUUGUUGUGAACAUGAGGUCAGAAAAUGCUUUAGAAUUGUACCCGGACUCAGAGGGAGCCCGAGAGAAACGAUGUUGAUCCUUUCUCUGUCCUCCUCAUCUUUCCCCUUCCUCUUUUUCAAUAAGACUCUGACUAAUGAUCAACGUGGGACCAAGAUCUGCCCGCCUUUCUCUGCAGCCACGUAGUCCUUUGGAAAGUUCCUCCGGAGGGAGAGGAAAAGAGCAAAGAUGAAAAAGAAAAGCCCCAAAGAGAAACAAAUUCUGCUUGUGUCCUUAUCAUCCUCGUCUCUUCUGUGGCUUCUCAUUUUUCGCUCUCAGGAUAAAGAGCAUGAAGUUUUUAGCCACUGCCUUCAGGGCCCCGUGUGGUCUCGUCCCUCCCACAAUGCCAGCCUUUUUUUUUUUUUUUUUGUCACCAAGCUCUGCCACUGUUUAUGUCUGUGGCUGCACGACAAAUUUUCACCAGCUCUGCCGCUUUAAGUCCACACUCAUUUCUGAUCUCACAGUUCGGGAGAUCCACCUUCAGGUAUGGCGUGCCUGGCUUCUCUGUUCAGGGUCGCACAAGGCAGAGUCAUCUUGUUGGCUAGACUGAGACCUUGCCUGGAGGCUCGGAGGGAAAAUCCACUCUCAAAGUUCAGUGGGUUGUGUUGUGUGUUUCUUCUUCCCCUCCCCCAAAUUCAGAAUCAUAGAAUGUGACCCAAUACCGCAAAUUAGACUCAAGCCCAAACCCAUUUACUCAGAAUGUGACCUUAUUUGAACAUAGGGUCCUUACAGAUGUGAUUGCGUUUAAAAAAAAAAAAAAGGUCAUAAGGUGAAUCUUAAUCUUAUAUGGCUGGUGUCCUUUGUAAAAGGAAGAAAUGUUCUCACAGAGAGAGACAUGUUAGAGGGAGGAAGAUGUGGAGACACAGGGAGGAGACAAAGGCCAUUGAUGAGCCAAGAAUAGAGAACUAGAGCAGAACUGUCCUUCACAGCCUCCAGAAGGAGCCAAUCCAGAAGGGCAGUGCCUGCCCAUGCCAUAAUCUUGUAUUUCCUGUCUUCUGAAAUGGGCAAUGUUCAAUGUCUAUGUUAUGGCGUCCCUAGGAAAUUAAGAUGCAAGCUCAUUGCUACUGUGGGCAGUUGUGGGUUUCUUACAUGUGUAGGACU